AGAAUUUGAUCUUGGUUCAGAUUGAAUGCUGACGGCGUGGAUGAGGCAUGCAAGUCGAACGGAUUUAGGGGCAACUCUAAAUUAGUGGCGGAAGGGUUAGUAAUACAUGGGUAACCUGCCUUUAACUCUGGAAUAACGAUUGGAAACGAUCGCUAAUACUAGAUGUGGUGAGGGAAGAUAGCUUCUUUUUAUUAAAGUGGGGGACAGUUAAAUGCCUCGCGGUUAGAGAGGGGCCCAUGGGAUAUCAGCUUGUUGGUGAGGUAAGAGCUCACCAAGGCUAAGACGUCUAGGCGGAUUGAGAGAUUGACCGCCAACACUGGGACUGAGAACUGCCCAGACUCCUACGGGAGGCUGCAGUCGAGAAUCAUUCGCAAUGGGCGAAAGCCUGACGAUGCGACGCCGUGUGUGUGAUGAAGGCCUUCGGGUCGUAAAGCACUUUCGCUUGGGAACAAGAGAGGUCGGAUAAUACCCGGCUGAUUUGAGGGUACCAGGUAAAGAAGCACCGGCUAACUACGUGCCAGCAGCUGUAAUACGUAGGGUGCAAGCAUUAAUCGGAAUUAUUGGGCGUAUAGGGCGCGUAGGCGGACCUACAAGUCGGUUGUGAAAUCCCAGGGCUCAACCCUGGAAUAGCACCCGAAACUGUAGGACUGGAGGGUAGGCGGAGAAAACGGAAUUCCACAAGUAGCGGUGAAAUGCGUAGAUAUGUGGAAGAACACCGGUGGCGAAGGCGGUUUUCUAGCUUAUUCCUGACGCUGAGGCGCGAAAGCAAGGGGAUCAAACAGGAUUAGAUACCCUGGUAGUCCUUGCCGUAAACUAUGUAUACUUGGUGUAACUGGACUCAACCCUAGUUGUGCCGUAGCUAACGCGUUAAGUAUACCGCCUGGGGAGUACACUCGCAAGGGUGAAACUCAAAAGAAUUGACGGGGACCCGCACAAGCAGUGGAGCAUGUGGUUUAAUUCGAUCCACGCGAAGAACCUUACCCAGGCUUGACAUGCAAAUGACAUCUCUAGAAAUAGGGAGUUCCUUCGGGACAUUUGCACAGGUGCUGCAUGGCUGUCGUCAGCUCGUGCCGUGAGGUGUUGGGUUAAGUCCCGCAACGAGCGCAACCCUUAUCAUUAGUUGCCAACAUUUAAGGUGGGAACUCUAAUGAGACUGCCUGGGUUAACCAGGAGGAAGGUGAGGAUGACGUCAAGUCCGCAUGGCCCUUAUGUCUGGGGCUACACACGUGCUACAAUGGUCGGUACAGAAGGCAGCAAAGCCGCGAGGUGAAGCAAAUCCCCAAAACCGAUCCCAGUUCAGAUUGU
rnacentral:rRNA from 1 species